UACGGGGGGGGGCAAGCGUUGUUCGGAAUUACUGGGCGUAAAGGGCUCGUAGGUGGCCAACUAAGUCAUACGUGAAAUCCCUCGGCUUAACCGGGGAACUGCGUCUGAUACUGGAUGGCUUGAGGUUGGGAGAGGGAUGCGGAAUUCCAGGUGUAGCGGUGAAAUGCGUAGAUAUCUGGAGGAACACCGGUGGCGAAGGCGGCAUCCUGGACCAAUAUUGACGCUGAGGAGCGAAAGCCAGGGGAGCAAAGCGGG
rnacentral:rRNA from 1 species